rnacentral:rRNA from 1 species
UAGUUGUAUUAUUAGUUAAUGCAAGAUCGACUACGUCGACUAAAGUUCUAGGUAGAAUAAUGAUGAUGACAAUUUUUUACCUAUAUGUCUUGACCAAGUCUCGUGCCAGCAGUCGCGGUAAUACGUGGAAGACUAGUGUUAUUCAUCUUUAUUAGGUUUAAAGGGUACCUAGACGGUAUUUCUAGCCCAAAAUAGGGUACGGAUUUACUAGAGUUUUAUGUGAGGAGGGGAGUACUCGUGGAGUAGAGAUGAAAUUUUGUUAUACUAUGAGGUAACUGGUAGCGGCGAAAGCAACCUUCUAUGUAUAAACUGACGUUGAGGGACGAAGGCUUGGGUAGCAAAUAGGAUUAGAUACCCUAGUAGUCCAAGCAGACAAUUCUGAAUGCCAUAGAUUAGAUUAUUUUUGAUCUAUAAAUGAAAGUGUAAGCAUUCCACCUUAGGAGUAAUGUGGCAACACAGGAACUGAAAUCAUUAGACCGUUUCUGAAACCAGUAGUGAAGUAUGUUAUUUAAAUUGAUGGUCCACAAAAAACCUUACCACAACUUGAAUAUUUUUAAUUAAUACAAGCGUUGCACGGCUGUCUUCAGUUAAUGUCGUGAGAUUUUGGUUAACUCCAUUAAUUAACGUAAACCCUUACUUUA